GCCAGCAUGGUGUAGUGGUCUGAGUGUUGGACUACAACACUGGAGACCAAGGUUCGAAUCCUUGCUCAGCCA